UCACCUGACAGCACAGGAGGCCUCGCGCACUCUUGAAGCAUCCGAGCGAGCGCAUGAUUUCCCGCAAUAUCUCGAGGAUCCUCGAGGCAAUCGAGCGGGCGAGGGACGCUUUUGCUCGCCGAAGAUCGAGUCCACACCGUGAUCGAGUCAUGACAGCCAAGAAACGUAGAUGGUGGGUUCGACCAAGCUUGCGCUACCGAAAUCUGGAAGGACAGGCCAGUGCUUUGCUGCCUCGCCUGCGCGCCACAGACGAAAUUUACUUUCGAGACUUCCUGCGAAUGGCACCCAGCACAUUUGAUUCCUUGCUGGAACUCAUCCGUCCAGCGAUCGAACGUAAGGUGACGCCGUUCCGCGACCCGAUAUCAGCACACGACCGGCUUGUUAUCAC